rnacentral:rRNA from 1 species
GACGAACGCUGGCGGCGUGCUUAACACAUGCAAGUCGAGCGGUAAGGCCCUUUCGGGGGUACACGAGCGGCGAACGGGUGAGUAACACGUGGGUGACCUGCCCUCAGCUCUGGGAUAAGCCUGGGAAACCGGGUCUAAUACUGGAUAUGACUCCAUGACGCAUGUUGUGGGGUGGAAAGCCUUGUGCGGCUGAGGAUGGGCCCGCGGCCUAUCAGCUUGUUGGUGGGGUGANGGCCUACCAAGGCGACGACGGGUAGCCGGCCUGAGAGGGCGACCGGGCCACACUGGGACUGAGACACGGCCCAGACUCCUACGGGAGGCAGCAGUGGGGAAUCUUGCGCAAUGGGCGAAAGCCUGACGCAGCGACGCCGCGUGAGGGAUGACGGCCU